CCUGGCUCAGGAUGAACGCUAGCUACAGGCUUAACACAUGCAAGUCGAGGGGCAGCAUGGUCUUAGCUUGCUAAGGCCGAUGGCGACCGGCGCACGGGUGAGUAACACGUAUCCAACCUGCCGUCUACUCUUGGACAGCCUUCUGAAAGGAAGAUUAAUACAAGAUGGCAUCAUGAGUCCGCAUGUUCACAUGAUUAAAGGUAUUCCGGUAGACGAUGGGGAUGCGUUCCAUUAGAUAGUAGGCGGGGUAACGGCCCACCUAGUCUUCGAUGGAUAGGGGUUCUGAGAGGAAGGUCCCCCACAUUGGAACUGAGACACGGUCCAAACUCCUACGGGAGGCAGCAGUGAGGAAUAUUGGUCAAUGGGCGAGAGCCUGAACCAGCCAAGUAGCGUGAAGGAUGACUGCCCUAUGGGUUGUAAACUUCUUUUAUAAAGGAAUAAAGUCGGGUAUGGAUACCCGUUUGCAUGUACUUUAUGAAUAAGGAUCGGCUAACUCCGUGCCAGCAGCCGCGGUAAUACGGAGGAUCCGAGCGUUAUCCGGAUUUAUUGGGUUUAAAGGGAGCGUAGAUGGAUGUUUAAGUCAGUUGUGAAAGUUUGCGGCUCAACCGUAAAAUUGCAGUUGAUACUGGAUAUCUUGAGUGCAGUUGAGGCAGGCGGAAUUCGUGGUGUAGCGGUGAAAUGCUUAGAUAUCACGAAGAACUCCGAUUGCGAAGGCAGCCUGCUAAGCUGCAACUGACAUUGAGGCUCGAAAGUGUGGGUAUCAAACAGGAUUAGAUACCCUGGUAGUCCACACGGUAAACGAUGAAUACUCGCUGUUUGCGAUAUACUGCAAGCGGCCAAGCGAAAGCGUUAAGUAUUCCACCUGGGGAGUACGCCGGCAACGGUGAAACUCAAAGGAAUUGACGGGGGCCCGCACAAGCGGAGGAACAUGUGGUUUAAUUCGAUGAUACGCGAGGAACCUUACCCGGGCUUAAAUUGCAGAUGAAUUACGGUGAAAGCCGUAAGCCGCAAGGCAUCUGUGAAGGUGCUGCAUGGUUGUCGUCAGCUCGUGCCGUGAGGUGUCGGCUUAAGUGCCAUAACGAGCGCAACCCUUGUUGUCAGUUACUAACAGGUUCCGCUGAGGACUCUGACAAGACUGCCAUCGUAAGAUGUGAGGAAGGUGGGGAUGACGUCAAAUCAGCACGGCCCUUACGUCCGGGGCUACACACGUGUUACAAUGGGGGGUACAGAGGGCCACUACCACGCGAGUGGAUGCCAAUCCCCAAAACCUCUCUCAGUUCGGACUGGAGUCUGCAACCCGACUCCACGAAGCUGGAUUCGCUAGUAAUCGCGCAUCAGCCACGGCGCGGUGAAUACGUUCCCGGGCCUUGUACACAC
rnacentral:rRNA from 1 species